rnacentral:rRNA from 1 species
AAAAGACCUUCUUCGGAGGGUAUGCUUAAAGAGGGGCUUGCGUCACAUUAGUUAGUUGGUAAGGUAAAGGCUUACCAAGACGAUGAUGUGUAGCUGGACUGAGAGGUUGAACAGCCACAUUGGGACUGAGACACGGCCCAAACUCCUACGGGAGGCAGCAGUAGGGAAUUUUCGGCAAUGGAGGAAACUCUGACCGAGCAACGCCGCGUGAAUGAUGAAGUACUUCGGUAUGUAAAAUUCUUUUAUUGAAGAAGAAAAAAUAGUGGAAAAACUAUAUUGACGUUAUUCAAUGAAUAAGCCCCGGCUAACUAUGUGCCAGCAGCCGCGGUAAUACAUAGGGGGCGAGCGUUAUCCGGAAUUAUUGGGCGUAAAGGGUGCGUAGGCGGUUUGAUAAGUCUCUAGUUUAAUUUCAGCGCUUAACGCUGUCCUGCUAGAGAAACUGUCUUACUAGAGUGAGAUAGAGGCAAGCGGAAUUCCAUGUGUAGCGGUAAAAUGUGUAAAUAUGUGGAGGAACACCAGAGGCGUAGGCGGCUUGCUGGGUCUUUACUGACGCUGAGGCACGAAAGCGUGGGGAGCAAACAGGAUUAGAUACCCUGGUAGUCCACGCCGUAAACGAUGAGUACUAAGUGUCGGGGCAACUCGGUACUGAAGUUAACACAUUAAGUACUCCGCCUGAGUAGUACGUACGCAAGUAUGAAACUUAAAGGAAUUGACGGGAUCCCGCACAAGCGGUGGAUCAUGUUGUUUAAUUCGAAGAUACACGAAAAACCUUACCAGGUCUUGACAUAUUCUGCGAAGCUAUAGAAAUAUAGUAGAGGUUACCAGAAAUACAGGUGGUGCAUGGUUGUCGUCAGCUCGUGUCGUGAGAUGUUAGGUUAAGUUCUAAAACGAGCGCAACCCUUAUCGUUAGUUACCAGCAUGUUAUGAUGGGGACUUUAGCGAGACUGCCAAUGAAAAAUUGGAGGAAGGUGAGGAUUACGUCAAAUCAUCAUGCCCCUUAUGAUCUGGGCUACAAACGUGAUACAAUGGCUAUUACAAAGAGUAGCUGAAACGCGAGUUUUUAGCCAAUCUCAAAAAAAUAGUCUCAGUUCGGAUUGAAGUCUGCAACUCGACUUCAUGAAGUUGGAAUCGCUAGUAAUCGCGAAUCAGCA